GUCUAUCCGCUGCUCUGAUUGGUUGUAGGUCUAUAGGUUGCUCUGACUGGUUGUAGGUCUAUAGGUUGCUCUGAUUGGUUGUAGGUCUAUGCGUUGCUCUGAUUGGUUGUUGGUUGCUCUGACUGGUUGUAGGUCUAUAGGUUGCUCUGACUGGUUGUAGGUCUAUAGGUUGCUCUGACUGGUUGUAGGUCUAUCCGUUGCUCUGAUUGGUUG